AGGGAAUAUUGCACAAUGGAGGAAACUCUGAUGCAGCGACGCCGCGUGAGUGAUGAAGGCCUUCGGGUCGUAAAGCUCUGUCGCAGGGGAAUAACACAAUGAAGGUACCCUGUAAGAAAGGAUCGGCUAACUUCGUGCCAGCAGCCGCGGUAAGACGAGGGAUCCUAGCGUUGUUCGGAAUUAUUGGGCGUAAAGCGGAUGUAGGUGGCUAUGUAAGUCAGAUGUGAAAGCCUGGGGCUCAACCCCAGAAGUGCAUUUGAUACUGCGUAGCUUGAGUGUCGGAGAGGUUACUAGAAUUGUUGGUGUAGUGGUGAAAUACGUAGAUAUCAACAGGAAUACCGGAGGCGAAAGCGGGUAACUGGCCGAACACUGACACUGAGAUCCGAAAGCGUGGGGAUCAAAC
rnacentral:rRNA from 1 species